AUUGAACGCUGGCGGCAGGCCUAACACAUGCAAGUCGAGCGAGCGGCGGACGGGUGAGUAAUGUCCGGGAAACUGCCCGAUGGAGGGGGAUAACUACUGGAAACGGUAGCUAAUACCGCAUACCAUCAGAUGUGCCCAGAGGGGAUUCGCUAGUAGGUGGGGUAACGGCUCACCUAGGCGACGAUCCCUACCUGGUCUGAGAGGAUGACCAGCCACACGGGAACUGAGACACCGUCCAGACUCCUACGGCAGGCAGCAGUGGGGAAUAUUGCACAAUGGGCGCAAGCCGGAUGCAGCCAUGCCGCGUGUGUGAAGAAGGCCUUCGGGUUGUAAAGCACUUUCAGCGGGGAGGCGUUACCCGCAGAAGAAGCACCGGCUAACUCCGUGCCAGCCGCCGCGGUAAUAC
rnacentral:rRNA from 1 species